UACGUAGGCAGCAAGCGUUGUUCGGAAUUCCUGGGCGUAAAGAGCGUGUAGGCGGCCAGACAGGUCCGUUGUGAAAACUCGAGGCUCAACCUCGAGACGCCGAUGGAAACCGUCUGGCUAGAGUCCGGAAGAGGAGAGUGGAAUUCCUGGUGUAGCGGUGAAAUGCGCAGAUAUCAGGAAGAACACCCGUGGCUAAGGCGGCUCUCUAGUACGGUACUGACGCUGAGACGCGAAAGCGUGGGGAGCGAACAGG
rnacentral:rRNA from 1 species